rnacentral:tRNA from 1 species
CGGCGUGUAGCGCAGCCUGGUAGCGCGCUUGGUUCGGGACCAAGAAGUCGGUGGUUCAAAUCCACUCACGCCGACCA